UUUCCUAUCAUCUCUGCAGGGAUAAUGUAUUGAUCUGCUGACUUUAAGAAGGACCCUGUUUUCAGUCUGACUUCUUCAAAGGGGCAGCAGCUACCUUGGCAAGGUGAUCACAACCCAAGCACACAGCUGAUGUGGAAGACUUGAGUCCCAAAAGAUGACUUUCCCCCCUUCUCUGCAGGAUGCUGUAGCUGGAAACAUCUGGGUUCAGGUGCACUGGGAUCCUAGACUCCCUAGGAGUGAGGACGGGCACCACAAAGGCAUGAAGGCACCUCCUACCACCUUCAAGACUUCCCACUGCCAGUCUGUAGCCUGUUGUCGAGUCCUGGUCCAACCCUGAGUCACCCGUGUGAGCUGGGGUCCAUGAUUGGUCUCUAGUUCUCCGUCUCUUCAUCUGAAGAAUGUGAAGAGUAACUUCUGCCUUUGCUGCUUACAGGACGGUCGUGAGGAUCCAAGGGCACAGUGAGGUGCUAGACAGAGGUGGGGGAGGCAGGCACAUGGAUUCCUUUCCAUGUGGCUCUCAAGAAACACCUGUCCCUCCAGACUCGGGGACUGCCUGGGACCUUGAAUAAUUGCCUUGGCAACUUAUCGCCUGGCUAACUACCACUCCUUUGGGUUUCGGCUUAAACGUCAGUUCUGCAAGAUCUUCUGGACCCCUAAGCUGGGUUCUCCUCUUAUAAGCAUGCACAGCAUUCUGUACCUUCCCAUCGCAGCACUUUUAUAAGUUGAACAGCGUGGUUAUUGGUGUGAUUAUUUAACACCUGCCUUUUGCACUACACUCUAAGCUCUAUGAGGAAAGGACGAUGUUUCGUUGUGCACCAUCGUAUCACCAUGUGGCAGUCUCCAUAAGACCCUGCUGCGUGGGUAAGUGAAUUCCCUGCCUCAUACCUCUCUCAUGCCUUAGCAUGGGGCCUGAGGCCAAGCACCCAUCCGUCACAUCCCCCUUGCCCAAAGCCUCCUUAUAAGGGGCAGGGAAAGGGUGGCGUCUCCUCUCCCUUCUAACUCAAGGAACAAAUCAUUGGCUACAUGACAGUUGC
rnacentral:lncRNA from 13 species